rnacentral:rRNA from 1 species
UUACGGGAGGCAGCAGUGAGGAAUAUUGCGCAAUGCCCGAAAGGGUGACGCAGCGACGCCGCGUGAAGGAUGAAGGCCCUCUGGGUCGUAAACUUCUUUGGCAGGGGAAUAACGGAUCGCUACAGGCGGUCGUGAAUGUACCCUGAGAACAAGCAUCGGCUAACUACGUGCCAGCAGCCGCGGUAAUACGUAGGAUGCGAGCGUUGUCCGGAUUCACUGGGUGUAAAGGGAGCGCAGGCGGGUCGGCAAGUCAGCGGUGAAAUAUUCGGGCUUAACCCGGAAACUGCCACUGAUACUGCCGGUCUUGAGUGUGGAAGAGGUCGAUGGAAUUCCUGGUGUAGCGGUGAAAUGCGUAGAUAUCAGGAAGAACACCGAUGGCGAAGGCAGUCGACUGGUCCACAACUGACGCUCAUGCUCGAAAGCGUGGGGAUCAAACAGGAUUAGAUACCCUGGU